rnacentral:rRNA from 1 species
AUUGAACGCUGGCGGCAGGCCUAACACAUGCAAGUCGAACGAGUGGCGGACGGGGGAGUAAUGUCUGGGAAACUGCCUGAUGGAGGGGGAUAACUACUGGAAACGGUAGCUAAUACCGCAUACUAUUAGAUGUGCCCAGAUGGGAUUUGCUGGUUGGUGGGGUAACGGCUCACCAAGGCGACGAUCCCUAGCUGGUCCGAGAGGAUGACCAGCCACACUGGAACUGAGACACGGCCCAGACUCCUACGGGAGGCAGCAGUGGGGAAUAUUGCAAAAUGGGCGCAAGCCUGAUGAAGCAAUGCCGCGUGUAUGAAGAAGGCCUUCGGAUUGUAAAGUACUUUCAGCAGGGAGGCGUUACACGCAGAAGAAGCACCGGCUAACUCCGUGCCAGCAGCCGCGGUAAUAC